rnacentral:tRNA from 1 species
UAUGCAAUGAACUUAAAAUUCAUUUAUAAAGAAUAAUCUUUUGUUAGAAA